rnacentral:rRNA from 1 species
AUUGAACGCUGGCGGCAGGCCUAACACAUGCAAGUCGAACGAGUGGCAGACGGGUGAGUAAUGUCUGGGAAACUGCCUGAUGGCGGGGGAUAACUACUGGAAACGGUAGCUAAUACCGCAUACCAUCGGAUGUGCCCAGAUGGGAUUAGCUAGUAGGUGGGGUAACGGCUAACCUAGGCGACGAUCACUAGCUGGUCUGAGAGGGUGACCGGCCACACUGGAACUGAGACACGGUCCAGACUCCUACGGGAGGCAGCAGUGGGGAAUAUUGCGCAAUGGGCGAAAGCUUGAUGCAGCCAUGCCGCGUGUAUGAUGAAGGCCUUCGGGUUGUAAAGUACUUUCAGCGGGGAGGCGGUACCCGCAGAGGAAGCACCGGCUAACUCCGUGCCAGCAGCCGCGGUAAUUC